AACGAACGCUGGCGGCAUGCCUAACACAUGCAAGUCGAACGAGACCUUCGGGUCUAGUGGCGCACGGGUGCGUAACGCGUGGGAACCUGCCCUUAGGUUCGGAAUAACUCCCCGAAAGGGGUGCUAAUACCGGAUAAUGUCUUCGGACCAAAGAUUCAUCGCCUUUGGAUGGGCCCGCGUUGGAUUAGCUAGUUGGUAGGGUAAAAGCCUACCAAGGCUACGAUCCAUAGCUGGUCUGAGAGGAUGAUCAGCCACACUGGGACUGAGACACGGCCCAGACUCCUACGGGAGGCAGCAGUGGGGAAUAUUGGACAAUGGGCGAAAGCCUGAUCCAGCAAUGCCGCGUGAGUGAUGAAGGCCUUAGGGUUGUAAAGCUCUUUUACCCGGGAUGAUAAUGACAGUACCGGGAGAAUAAGCUCCGGCUAACUCCGUG
rnacentral:rRNA from 1 species